UUCUUUGGUUAUCUAGCUGUAUGAGUAUGACGAGCAUCAUAAAGCUAGGUUACCGAAGUU
rnacentral:pre_miRNA from 13 species